rnacentral:lncRNA from 1 species
AGUAAUAGAAUUUCACUCAGAUAAUACAACAUACGUGAUAAUUAUGCUUGGUUGGUGUUUGGUCACUAAAUAUUUCUCUCUGUUUCUUUUUUUAUAGCAUCUGACUUGAAGGCUUAUGUACUUGGACUUUCCAUCUUCAGUUUAACAGAGGACUUUAUGUCCCUUUUCAUCAUUGUAUUAGCUUACAUUUUGUCAAGAGGUACAUGUGUUUUCAUUAUAUCAUGAAUCAUGUUAACAUGAAAUAGCUUAUAUUUAUCAGUGGCCACUGGCGAAAUUUCAAGAUGCUGGAGUACCAAACUCAACCAAUUGAAUUUUAACCCACCCCCUCUUUCUGGAAACCCUACAUCCUGAUCUUUUGGACUGAUAUUUCUACAAACUAAGUUCUAAUGUUGCUAUACGCUCCAUUCAGUGUGUAUGUCUCAUUUAAUAUCGAAUACUGUCACAGAGUAUCUGGAAGGGUAGUGGAGGGAAGAUAUUAAAGUCUUAGAAUCCUUCAUAGUCUCUAGCCACUCAAUUCUUGUUAGUUAAUUAAUUGGCAGCAGGUAAAUUCUCAGGCUCCUGACUCAAAACAAAAUUAAAUACUACCUACUAGCAAGCUAGCCUUGUAGUGGUUUAAAUUUUCCGUUCAGCCACAGUAGGGGAAAGUCGGCAGUGGCUUUCUGUUUUCUGAAGGACCCCGGACUAGAGACCUUACUGAUUAAGGAAAUCUGGGAGGGAAGAUUUGGGAAUUGGGACGUGGAAAGUGAAAAUGGACACCAAGGAUGGUGCUGAAAAUGUGUAAUGGGGGAAUAGGGACCUGGAAGUGUAAUGGUUGGAUGGGAAGCUGUAAGGGGGAAAGGAGACAGGAUUUCUAAUGGGUGUAAAGGGAACUUAGGAGUGGAGCUAGCAAAAGUCUGUUUAUGCAUAUUCUUAAUGGCUUUUUAUUCACGGAAAUAACUCUUUUUUUCUGUUGCUUUCAGGAACUCAAUCCACUGGGCAGUUCAACCCAAACAUACAAUCGAGAGAAGUAACUGACAACAAAAAAGGUAGUUCUUUUUUUCCCAGUAACUGAACAAAAAUCUUCAAAUUAAUUUUAGAUAGUCCAAUAGGGCCAGCAGUGAAGUAUGCAGAAAUAGAGGUGUUGUCCUGGUUUUAGGAUUGUAGAGUCCAUCAAAAACUUCACCAGUGGCCACUGAAAUUAGAUCACUUAUUGGCCUCCUUCCCAACAAGUUGACCGUUGAGCCUAAAGCAAACAAUGGUUGUGUGGGUCUGGUCCCUUUAACUCUCCCUCUCCUCCUCCUUGUGUGUUUAUCUUAUCAAUGCAAAUCUACAAUAAUCGAUUGUAUAUAUAUAUUAUUUAUUUCUCCAAUUAUUUUAAUUUCAGCUGUAUGAUUAUGCUAUUUAUACUUUAUUCUAUAUAACAUAGGUUAUCUUGCCAAAGUGAAGAAGGGAUGCUUUUUCACCUAUCUGCUGAGCACUGACAUAAACAUUCUUGUUGUCCUUGCGAUAUUGAUCAUCUGGAUCACAGAAGGUAAGAUUAACAUACAAAUUAAAAUUUAACACCUUAAUGAUUUUAAUUUCAAAUGCAUUUCAAUGGCAUUCCUGGCACAAUAAGCACUACAGUUUAUUGUAGUUUUUAUGGUGCAAACCUUUUUUGUGUUAUUUGAUCAAAUCCAGAACACCCAAAACAUACCCUUUACCUUCCACAGAGAUAAUGCGAAAGUGAAAAUUUUAUCCGAUUUUUGGAAACCUAUUCUUGUCUCCGCUUUGAAUGAAUAAUACAACUCAUUCCUAAAACCAUUUUCACACAUGACUUGAUCUAUGUCUUACUAGAAGAAGUGUAGAUGUCCAUGAUUUUGCAAUUAAUUUCCUGAACACCAGAAAAUAAUUUUUUGAAAUCGUUUUCAGCCAUGCUGCCAUUUAAUCAUAAAUAUUUGGCAAUAUGCUUUCAUUGCUUUUUUCAAACCUGGAUUACAUAGUGGUUGUUGAUUUUGAGAAUACAUAAGUAAGAUAAACCCACCUUUCUUCCGCUACUGCAACUGUGUCAUCUAAAACCACUAAACCAACACUGUCAUCCCACUCCUGAAAAAUGUGUAUUUUGUAAAGACUGAAUCUCUAUGAUAUACUCAUUAUGACUGUGCUUAAAGGGACACUAUAGUCACCAGAACAACUACAGCUUAUUGUAUUUGUUCUGGUGAGUAUAAUUAUUCCAUUCAGGUUUUUUGCAGUAUACACUGUUUUUUCAGAGAAAAUGCAGUGUUUGCAUUACAGUCUAGGGAUAACUCCACUGGUCACUUGACAGGUGAUUGCUAGAGGUGCUUCCUGUGGCAGUGCUGCAAACUGCCAUUCAGUGUCUCCACCCUCUGUAUGGAGACACUAAACUUUCCUCAUAGAGAUGCUGAUUGGCCAGGGCUGUGGUUGACUUGUGCUGGCUCUGCCCCUGAUCUGCCUCCUUGACAGUCUCAGCCAAUCAAAUGCUUUUCUAUGUGAAAGCAUUGUGAGUGUCUGAGAGAAUCACUUUUGAUGAUGUCAGCCAAGCAGACAGAUCGGGGGCAGAGCCAGCAGCAGUAGACUGGAACAAAAAUAAGAUUUAACUAUGUUUAGGGGGAGCUGGGGGACCAGUGGGGCUAGAUAGUGGUUUGAACACUAUAGGGUCAGGGAUACAUGUUUGUGUUCCUGACCCCAUAGUGUUCCUUUAAGUUUCACUGAAAUUACAACUCAAUACAGAGACAAAGUAUGGACUACUGUAUUUCUCCUCUGUCUGAUUUUUCUUGACACAAGGUGUUAAUCCCUGCAGCCAUCGUCAGUGAUGGCUGCAGGGAAUUGGCAUGCGCGUGGGUACUGCAGUGAUGCCAGCGCCGAGGAGGUUCAGGUAAUAUAACUCACCUUUACUUGCCCCCACCUGGUCCCCAGCAGCGAUGUCACUGUCGGCCGAGUUUGUGAAAUCAGCAAAGUCCCCAAACGGUGACAGUGCUGUUUAACUCGUCUUAUUACAAAUACUUGUCUGUUAGUCCACCCAUUCUACACCUAUUGGUGCUUUAUAAAUAAUAAUAAAAAUAAUUUGUGAUUGGCUAAGAUUCUGUAUGUAAGUGCCCAUGGGUGCCUUGUGUUGCUCGCAUUGAUGAUGGAGUUUAUUAAUGAUACUAACAUUUGAACCCUCUCUGUAGGUAUGUCAAAAGCUGUGAUUGUGGCGAUGAUUCCCUUGGUCAUAGGGUUUAGUUUCGUCUCAAUUUAUCUCAUGAUUUUUUGCUCCUGCUCAAACAUUACGGAGAACAGAUUCUGUAAGUCAACCAGUUUUUCAUGACUUUUGAAUAGAACCAUAAAAACAGUGUCAUUUCUGAUAUAUUUAUACAUUUCUAAUCUUUUUAAAUAUUGUGCAUCCUCAGUUCUUCAUGUUCUAGAACUAUCACCUCAUGUUCUGAAUAUCUACAUGUUCUUUGCAUCGAUCUUUGUAAUAACCUACAUCGCCAUCGAUAUACGUAAGUACGGUCCAGUUAAUAAGUUAUAUAUUUUUCUAAAAGUCCUGAUCAAUUAAUUGUGUAAAACUGAAAUAUAAUGUAGAAGAUAAUUUUUAUAGAUUUGGCAGCAGAUAUCUUCAAUUUCCAAUCAUUAGUAAUGUUAACAAAGAGACAAAAUUAAAAAAUGAUUUGGAGGUUGAGAAAUCUAAUGCCUUGUUUCAACUGAGCGGAACGGUUCGGGUCGGUUCGGUACGGUACGCUGUUUUGAGUGUUUCCAUUAUGAAAGUGGCUCAUACAACUGAACCGCACCGCACCAUUCUUGGCCCCCCUUCAGAUGAAGGUCCAUAGGAAAUGGUAAGGUAUGGUUAGGGCGGAGCUACUAGCGUCACACUAUACAAUCCAUUGAUUGGCGGAUAGGAAAACGUCAAUGCUCACAACAAAUGACAUGCUAGGCAUUUGGUCUACAGCCUGCAUGGCCCAUGGCGGUCCUACUUGCAGUGGAAACUCUCACCUGAAUAGGCUGGACCAUUCUAACCCUUCCAAACUGUACCGAACCGUUCCGCCCAGUGGAAACAAGGCAUAACAUUUUUAUGGAUAGGGAAGCAAUUAAACAGACAUGUCUACCACAAAAUGUUUACACAUUUUAGCUUCCGUAGCCUUUGUAAGAUGUAAUCCUGGGACAGGUGAUUGUCUGUAGAUUAGUUGGACAUGUGACCCCUUAACUCACUCUAGCUCACUAUUUAGUAAAUAGGAUUCUUGGCUAUGACAUGAAAAGAUACACAAAAUCAGUGAUGUUAAUUUGGUUAGGUAACCUGUAAUCACAUUUAUUCUGGUGUUAUUUUUUACAGGGCAAGACUGUGAAGAUGUAAACAGGAAUGUCCUUGUUUUUUUGUCAAUACCCUGUGCGAUUAUUUUUGUCCUUUUUGUUUUUUUCUUCAGCUGUAAGUAGGUGAAAUGUUUUCCUGUUUAACUCAAGACAUACAAAACACACAAACAUUGAUCUGAAAAAGAUCCACGUGCUCUACAAUAUACUUAUGUUGGGGUGUAAAACACAUACUGUUUUGCUGAACUGCUCUAUGUAUGCAGAUUGUGUGGUCUUUUUUUUUAAUUUUGAAAAAUGUGGAGAUUUCAAUAGAAAUUUUCAUUUUAUGAAUUAAACUUGUUACACCCUCCUGGCUGUCAAUCAGACAACCGGUCCUGUUACUUCCUGGUUGUUUAGCUCAAUGGAGCUCAAGAGGCAGGAUUUACCCAGAACACCUGCCUUGCAAAGACUUCCCAUUGAGCUGCAUUGGGAAGUCUGUGAAUGGACAGUUACAGAAAGACUUGGCUGGAUUAGAAGGAGAGGGCUUGCAAAGGGUGCAAACAAGAUCAGCAGCUUUUGUAAGCCGUUUUUAGAUAUAACCCCAAUAAUAAAAAAAAUAAUUAAAUACAUAAUAAAUUUGGGCAGCUACAUACCAGCAAGCGACUUG